rnacentral:rRNA from 1 species
GACGAACGCUGGCGGCGUGCUUAACACAUGCAAGUCGAACGGAAAGGCCCUGCUUUUGUGGGGUGCUCGAGUGGCGAACGGGUGAGUAACACGUGAGUAACCUGCCCUUUACUUUGGGAUAACUUCAGGAAACUGGGGCUAAUACCGGAUAGGAACUCCUGCUGCAUGGUGGGGGUUGGAAAGUUUCGGCGGUUGGGGAUGGACUCGCGGCUUAUCAGCUUGUUGGUGGGGUAGUGGCUUAACAAGGCUUUGACGGGUAGCCGGCCUGAGAGGGUGACCGGCCACAUUGGGACUGAGAUACGGCCCAGACUCCUACGGGAGGCAGCAGUGGGGAAUAUUGCACAAUGGGCGGAAGCCGGAUGCAGCAUCGCCGCGUGCGGGAUGACGGCCUUCGGGUUGUAACCCGCUUUCGCCUGUGACGAAGCGUAAGUGACGGUAAUGGGUAAAGAAGCACCGGCUAACUACGUG